CAACUACUCCCUCUGUUCCAAAUUUCUUGUCUUAGAUUUGUCUAGAUACGUAUGUAUCUAAUACUAAAAUGUGACUUGAUACAUCCAUAUCUAGACAAAUCUAAGACAAGAAUUUUGGGACGGAGGGAGUACUUU
rnacentral:pre_miRNA from 1 species